rnacentral:rRNA from 1 species
CCUACGGGAGGCAGCAGUGGGGAAUAUUGCACAAUGGGGGAAACCCUGAUGCAGCGACGCCGCGUGAGUGAAGAAGUAUCUCGGUACGUAAAGCUCUAUCCGCAGGGAAGAAAAUGACGGUACCUGACUAAGAAGCCCCGGCUAACUACGUGCCAGCAGCCGCGGUAAUACGUAGGGGGCAAGCGUUAUCCGGAUUUACUGGGUGGAAAGGUAGCGUAGACGGGAGCACAAGUCUGGAGUGAAAUCCCGGGGCUUAACCCCGGAACUGCUUUGGAAACUGUGCGGGUGGAGUGCAGGAGGGGUAAGCGGAAUUCCUAGUGUAGCGGUGAAAUGCGUAGAUAUUAGGAGGAACACCGGUGGCGAAGGCGGCUUACUGGACUGUAACUGACGUUGAGGCUCGAAAGCGUGGGGAGCAAACAGGAUUAGAUACCCGAGUAGUC